rnacentral:rRNA from 1 species
ACGGGAGGCAGCAGUGGGGAAUAUUGCACAAUGGGGGAAACCCUGAUGCCGCGACGCCGCGUGAGCAAAGAAGUAUUUCGGUAUGUAAGCUCUAUCAGCAGGGAAGAAACUGACGGUACCCGACUAAGAAGCACCGGCUAAAUACGUGCCAGCAGCCGCGGUAAUACGUAUGGUGCAAGCGUUAUCCGGAUUUACUGGGUGUAAAGGGAGCGUAGACGGAUGGGCAAGUCUGAAGUGAAAGCCCGGGGCUCAACCCCGGGACUGCUUUGGAAGCUGUUCAUCUGGAGUGCUGGAGAGGUAAGUGGAAUUCCUAGUGUAGCGGUGUAAUGCGUAGAUAUUAGGAGGAACACCAGUGGCGAAGGCGGCUUACUGGACAGUAACUGACGUUGAGGCUCGAAAGCGUGGGGAGCAAACAGGAUUAGAUACCCUGGUA